rnacentral:misc_RNA from 1 species
AACUGCAACUGGUAACUCUCCUCCGUCUGUUGCGCCCAGCUCUUCCCAGACGAUCCAGUACCCGUCCCCGAAAUCACCGCCGCAUCCACUGCUCUCGCUCUCAUAAAAUUCCCAUCCUCGUGCAUGUAUCCAUAUGCCUCAAUCUCAUUCCCCCCAGUCGUUGACAACGUUGGGGCAUAAUACUCUCCAGACAACGAACUCUCACCAAAACUACUCCCGCUCGAUUGCCUUUGCAACCCGAUCGACGAAUACAUGUUCAAAUUACCAAUCCGAUUACUAUUCGCUUGCUGAUUUAUUCUGUAAUCGCCGCUAGAUUCCCAAUCGAAGCCCCUAUCCAGCUUUAGUUUGCUACUCUUGGAAUCACUGGAAAUAGAAGAAUCGUAGUACGGCAGUGGUGGCGCAGCCGCUAGAGGCUCGUCAGGAUACUGGCUAACAAGUGUGUAAUUGGAUCUUCGACCGGGCAUUUCCAUGGAGAU